rnacentral:rRNA from 1 species
UAAUACGUAGGGGGCAAGCGUUGUCCGGAUUUAUUGGGCGUAAAGAGCGUGUAGGCGGCCUGGUAGGUCAGCUGUGAAAACUCGAGGCUCAACCUCGAGACGCCGGUUGAAACCAUCAGGCUAGAGUCCGGAAGAGGAGAGUGGAAUUCCAGGUGUAGCGGUGAAAUGCGCAGAUAUCUGGAAGAACACCCGUGGCUAAGGCGGCUCUCUAGUACGGUACUGACGCUGAGACGCGAAAGCGUGGGGAGCGAACAGGAUUAGAUACCCUGGUAGUCCACGCCGUAAACGAUGGGCACUAGGUGUGGGGGGUGUCGACUCCCUCCGUGCCGAAGCUAACGCAUUAAGUGCCCCGCCUGGGGAGUACGGCCGCAAGGCUA